CUAUACAUGCAGUCGACGAGUUCUGAUUAUUGAAAGGUGCUUGCAUCUUGAUUUAAUUUUGAACGAGUGGCGGACGGGUGAGUAACACGUGGGUAACCUGCCCUUAAGUGGGGGAUAACAUUUGGAAACAGAUGCUAAUACCGCAUAAAUCCAAGAACCGCAUGGUUCUUGGCUGAAAGAUGGCGUAAGCUAUCGCUUUUGGAUGGACCCGCGGCGUAUUAGCUAGUUGGUGAGGUAACGGCUCACCAAGGCAAUGAUACGUAGCCGAACUGAGAGGUUGAUCGGCCACAUUGGGACUGAGACACGGCCCAAACUCCUACGGGAGGCAGCAGUAGGGAAUCUUCCACAAUGGACGCAAGUCUGAUGGAGCAACGCCGCGUGAGUGAAGAAGGCUUUCGGGUCGUAAAACUCUGUUGUUGGAGAAGAAUGGUCGGCAGAGUAACUGUUGUCGGCGUGACGGUAUCCAACCAGAAAGCCACGGCUAACUACGUGCCAGCAGCCGCGGUAAUACGUAGGUGGCAAGCGUUAUCCGGAUUUAUUGGGCGUAAAGCGAGCGCAGGCGGUUUUUUAAGUCUGAUGUGAAAGCCCUCGGCUUAACCGAGGAAGUGCAUCGGAAACUGGGAAACUUGAGUGCAGAAGAGGACAGUGGAACUCCAUGUGUAGCGGUGAAAUGCGUAGAUAUAUGGAAGAACACCAGUGGCGAAGGCGGCUGUCUGGUCUGUAACUGACGCUGAGGCUUCGAAAGCAUGGGUAGCGAACAGGA
rnacentral:rRNA from 2 species